rnacentral:rRNA from 1 species
CCUACGGGCGGCAGCAGUGAGGAAUAUUGGUCAAUGGCCGCUAGCCUGAACCAGCCAAGUCGCGUGAAGGAUGACUGCCCUAUGGGUUGUAAACUUCUUUUAUAUGGGAGUAAAGUGCAGUAUGGAAACUGCUUUGCAUGUACCUUAUGAAUAAGCAUCGGCUAACUCCGUGCCAGCAGCCGCGGUAAUACGGAGGAUCCGAGCGUUAUCCGGAUUUAUUGGGUUUAAAGGGAGCGUAGGCGGGUUGUUAAGUCAGUUGUGAAAUUUUGCGGCUCAACCGUAGCAUUGCAGGUGAUACUGGCAUCCUUGAGUACAGGAGGGGUAGGCGGAAUUCGUGGUGUAGCGGUGAAAUGCUUAGAUAUCACGAAGAACUCCGAUUGCGAAGGCAGCCUGCUGGCCCGUAACUGACGCUGAUGCGCGAAAGUGUGGGUAUCAAACAGGAUUAGAUACCCUUGUAGUC